rnacentral:tRNA from 1 species
UGGAUCAGAGUUCGGUAGUUGAAUUCUUCUUUUACACGGAAGGUGUUAUUUGUGCAAAUCAAAUUGGUCUUA